AGCUCCAAUAGCGUAUAUUAAAGUUGCUGCGUUUAAAAAGCUCGUAGUUGGAUCUCAGUCUCGAUCGGUCGGUCCAUCCUCUGGGUGGUUACUGGCUCAAUCGGACGUUGUUGGCCACGUUUCCGAGCAUGCUCUUCAUUGAGUGUGUUCCGGAGAGUGGAGCGUUUACUUUGAAAAAAUUAGAGUGCUCAAAGCAGGCGUUGUGCCUGGAUAGUCGUGCAUGGAAUGAUGGAAUAGGACGUCGUUUCUAUUUUGUUGGUUUUCGGAAAUCGACGUAAUGAUAAAUAGGGACAGUCGGGGGCAUUAGUAUUCAGACGACAGAGGUGAAAUUCUUGGACCGUCUGAAGACUGACUACUGCGAAAGCAUUUGCCAAGAAUGUUUUCAUUAAUCAAGAACGAA
rnacentral:rRNA from 1 species